UAUCGUGUUAUAUUUAUAGUAAUUCUGACGUGUUACUAGGGGCGGAUGUAAAGUCUUCGGGCUUGACACUUGGUGCCCAGGUGUGUUUCCAGAGGGAUGUUAGCCUACGAGCUAGGCACUUAGUGCCAAGGCGUGUUCUCGGUUGGCUUGGCUUGUAUGAGUUUUUUGGCGUGUUUCGGGUGGAUAGUUGUGCAUCCAUAUCUGUUAUAUCGUUCAUCGGGCAAAUUUCUAGAUAAUGUUUUGUGGAAUCUGCCGGUUGGAUCAACCUGAAGAUCACACUAUCCAGAUAUCUAUCGGUAGAUUUUGACAUGUUUACCUUUGGGUUAUAUGGCAUGUAAUAGGUGUCUUGUAUAUGUUUUGGAUACUUAUUACUUGUGAUGUAUCUUAUACUUGGAUGAUGUUGUGUAAACUUGAUUUUGGCUCACUUGUAUAUAUGUCUUUGGCUUUUGGCUUGUAAAUGUCCAUAUGUAUUUGUUUUAGUCAUUUUGGUUUAAGCUACUUGUGAAUAAAGAAGUUAUGGUAUGAGUAGAUAUGAA